rnacentral:pre_miRNA from 1 species
GCCUCCUGGGCCUGCUGAGCUGACAGCAGUGCCAUCAAACAUACUGGCUCAGCUCAGCAGGACCAGGAGU